GACGAACGCUGGCGGCGUGCCUAAUACAUGCAAGUAGAACGCUGAAGGAGGAGCUUACUUCUCUGGAUGAGUUGGGAACGGGUGAGUAACGCGUAGGUAACCUGCCUGGUAGCGGGGGAUAACUAUUGGAAACGAUAGCUAAUACCGCAUAAGAGUAGAUGUUGCAUGACAUUUACUUAAAAGGUGCAAUUGCACCACUACCAGAUGGACCUGCGUUGUAUUAGCUAGUUGGUGGGGUAACGGCUUACCAAGGCGACGAUACAUAGCCGACCUGAGAGGGUGAUCGGCCACACUGGGACUGAGACACGGCCCAGACUCCUACGGGAGGCAGCAGUAGGGAAUCUUCGGCAAUGGACGGAAGUCUGACCGAGCAACGCCGCGUGAGUGAAGAAGGUUUUCGGAUCGUAAAGCUCUGUUGUAAGAGAAGAACGAGUGUGAGUGGAAAGUUCACACUGUGACGGUAUCUUACCAGAAAGGGACGGCUAACUACGUGCCAGCCGCCGCAGUAA
rnacentral:rRNA from 1 species